AUUGAACGCUGGCGGCAUGCGUAACACAUGCAAGUCGAACGGUGUUUGGUGCUUGCACCAGACAUAGUGGCGGACGGGUGAGUAAUGCGUAGGAAUCUGUCUUAGAGAGGGGGACAACCCGAGGAAAACUUGGGCUAAAAACCGCAUAUUCUCGAGAGAGGAAAGCAGGGGACCGGAAACGGCCUUGUGCUCUAAAGGUGAGCCUACGUCGGAUUAGCUAGUUGGUAGGGUAAAAGCCUACCAAGGCGAUGAUCUGUAGCUGGUCUGAGAGGACGGACAGCCACACUGGGACUGAGACACGGCCCAGACUCCUACGGGAGGGCAGCAGU
rnacentral:rRNA from 1 species